rnacentral:rRNA from 1 species
CUCUUCAGUAAUUGCGCAUGAACCAGGAUAUGCUUAGCUUGACAAAUGGAGCUGCUGGCUCUGAAUUGUAUUGUGGGAAUGUAUUACCAACAGAGGUGCAGGUCACACUCCUUGGCAUUGGAAUGCAAAGUGGGUGGUAAGUUUCAUGCAAAGGUAAAUAUGCAAUUGAGACUGAUAGCGCACAAGUACCAUGAGGGACAUAUGAAAAGGACUUUGAAAAGAGAAUUAAAUGAGUUUGUAUUUGCUAAACACAAAGUAAACAGACUUGAUUUCCUCAGUGAGAUUGUAGUGCUUGCUUAACAAUGGGUUUUGGCUGCAAGUGCAAUAAUUCUUGCUUUGUGUGCCCGUUUUUAUGUGGACAUUUGAUUACCUUUGCACAUGAAUGGUAAUUUUCCUGCGGGGUGUGGAUUGCAUAUGCAUGUAAUGAUUUGCAUGUUUGUUAAAUGUGUCUGGUGUAUUUGUUUGUGUCCUUGUCCUUGAGGUUGCUUUCUCCCUUGGGCUUACAUGCCCUGGCACACACAUUCUGGCAAAAUGCUUCUGCUUGACCCGUCUUGAAAAU